rnacentral:lncRNA from 1 species
GAUUUUGAUUUUGCAGCCAAGGUUCAGAACUCCUGGGAGGAGAAAUGUUUCUCUUUAGAAUGGGAAGAUCUCAGGUAGAAUGAAGCUUAAAGUGCAAAAGAUUGCCUGGAUAUGUUCAGCAAGUCUAUUCAUCAUGGCUUAAUUGUUCACGAUGCACCAGGCACUGUGUGUGGAACUGGGUAUAAAGAAGAAAGGGACAGGAUACCUGAUUACAGGUAUCAGGAAGCUGAAGGAAGAGACCUGUGAACAACCAACAGCGCCAUGAAAAUUACAGCACUCUGAUCAAUAAGGAUACAAAAUGAGAGGAACAGAAACAGUGAUUUCUGCCCUUCCCAGGCAUUUCACAUUUUGGUAAACACAGAUAUUUGUCUGCAAUUACUUUCCUCUGAGAGUUGUAUUUUCUGGAGCCUUUUCAAAUGAGAAAUACUGGGAACUGAGCGGAGCUCCCACUUCAAGUGUCAGGGUCAGAGGAGCGGUGGUGAAGUGCCUCAGUACAUCACUUGAGUGGAAGAGCUUUCCAGUUAAUAUACUUAGGAUUUACAUGAGGUUUAUCUCCAGCCAGUGUGAGAUCUGAAAGCAGUUUCAACAGAGCAGAUUCAAGAAAUAAAAGACCAGGCCCACCAUUACCCAUCUUAAUAAAUAUGAGACUUCAUACACUUGCCUCGUUCUGAGAACUUUAUUUGAAGGAUGUUAAAAGCCAAGGGGCAAGAAUCACUUCUGGAAUGGUGGCGUGAAGAGCUCUGCAGAUCCACGCCCCUGUGAAACAGCCCUCACUCAAAAAAAUUAUAAAACAAAACAACCAGUUAAGGCCCCUAUAAAUUUUCCUAUGUUAUUACAGCGAAGGAAGAAUUGUUUGUUCAAGAAAUUCUACUAAAUCUCAGUAAUAAUAGUGAGUGUCUGUGGCACUUGUGCUACAACUUGCUCCCUCUCUUUCCCCAUCCUGGCUAAGUAUGACAGAAGCUCCACUCCAGCAGGUGUGGCCAAGAAGACCGGGCUCCCUCCAGCUCCCAGUCAAGGGCUGUGGUAUUGCCCAGAGAGAGGCAAGCUGCCGGCAUUUCUCACCCCUCUUCCCCCACUCUCCACUUCUAAUCUGCCACAGCUCUGUCUUCCAGAGGUCAAAUUCAAAGUAACUGUGGCGGAAAAGUCAAGAGCUCCUUUGCUCCACUUUGCCUCCACUCAUUUAUUUCUUGUGCUUUUGCAUCUGUUGUUUCUUCUGCCUGGAUGCUCUUACCAGGGAUCUUCCCCGGCUAACGCUUUCUUAGCGUUCAAAUAUUAGCUUAAAUGUCUUCUCUUCAGAGAGGCCUUUCCUGAUCAACCAGACUUAGCUAUAUACUCUCCACUAUGUCAUCCUCUUAAAUGCAGAGUGUUAUUACUAGAUAGAUCUUUUGAAUUUAAUUACUUUGUUUUCUUCCACUAGAAUCUAGAUUCUAUGAAAGUAGAUGCUUUGUCUUCUUUGUCCACAUGAUAACGUGUAAGAUAGUGUGGAAACUCUAACCUGUAGAAGGCACUCAAUAAAUGUUUGUGAAUGAAUGAAAGGUUUUAAUUAUAUGGUGUAAACUGGGAAUUUGGAUACAUAUAAGCUGAUUGGGACCUGGUGCCAAAGAUACCCAUUAAAUAGUGAAGAAAGUUCUAGAAAUCGAGUCUGUAACUGAAUUGGGAAGAGAUACAAUGCUUAGCUCAGAGGGAAGGAUGUUUAUAU